rnacentral:rRNA from 1 species
UGACCUACGGGACGCAGCAGUGGGGAAUAUUGGGCAAUGGGCGCAAGCCUGACCCAGCAACGCCGCGUGAAGGAAGAAGGCUUUCGGGUUGUAAACUUCUUUUGACAGGGAAGAGCAGAAGACGGUACCUGUCGAAUAAGCCACGGCUAACUACGUGCCAGCAGCCGCGGUAAUACGUAGGUGGCAAGCGUUGUCCGGAUUUACUGGGUGUAAAGGGCGAGUAGCCGGGCUGACAAGUCAGAUGGGAAAUCCGGGGGCUCAACCCCCGAACUGCAUUUGAAACGGUGGGUCUGGAGGAUCG